rnacentral:rRNA from 1 species
AAACUGCGAAUACCGGAGAAUGUUAUCACGGGAGACACACGGCGGGUGCUAACGUCCGUCGUGAAGAGGGAAACAACCCAGACCGCCAGCUAAGGUCCCAAAGUCAUGGUUAAGUGGGAAACGAUGUGGGAAGGCCCAGACAGCCAGGAUGUUGGCUUAGAAGCAGCCAUCAUUUAAAGAAAGCGUAAUAGCUCACUGGUCGAGUCGGCCUGCGCGGAAGAUGUAACGGGGCUAAACCAUGCACCGAAGCUGCGGCAGCGACGCUGAUGCGUUGUUGGGUAGGGGAGCGUUCUGUAAGCCUGUGAAGGUGGCCUGUGAGGGUUGCUGGAGGUAUCAGAAGUGCGAAUGCUGACAUAAGUAACGAUAAAGCGGGUGAAAAGCCCGCUCGCCGGAAGACCAAGGGUUCCUGUCCAACGUUAAUCGGGGCAGGGUGAGUCGACCCCUAAGGCGAGGCCGAAAGGCGUAGUCGAUGGGAAACGGGUUAAUAUUCCCGUACUUGGUGUUACUGCGAAGGGGGGACGGAGAAGGCUAUGUUGGCCGGGCGACGGUUGUCCCGGUUUAAGCGUGUAGGUGUGUGUUCCAGGUAAAUCCGGUUCACUUUAACACUGAGGCGUGAUGACGAGGCACUACGGUGCUGAAGCAACAAAUGCCCUGCUUCCAGGAAAAGCCUCUAAGCAUCAGGUAACAUCAAAUCGUACCCCAAACCGACACAGGUGGUCAGGUAGAGAAUACCAAGGCGCUUGAGAGAACUCGGGUGAAGGAACUAGGCAAAAUGGUGCCGUAACUUCGGGAGAAGGCACGCUGACACGUAGGUGAAGUGAUUUACUCACGGAGCUGAAGUCAGUCGAAGAUACCAGCUGGCUGCAACUGUUUAUUAAAAACACAGCACUGUGCAAACACGAAAGUGGACGUAUACGGUGUGACGCCUGCCCGGUGCCGGAAGGUUAAUUGAUGGGGUCAGCGCAAGCGAAGCUCCUGAUCGAAGCCCCGGUAAACGGCGGCCGUAACUAUAACGGUCCUAAGGUAGCGAAAUUCCUUGUCGGGUAAGUUCCGACCUGCACGAAUGGCGUAAUGAUGGCCAGGCUGUCUCCACCCGAGACUCAGUGAAAUUGAACUCGCUGUGAAGAUGCAGUGUACCCGCGGCAAGACGGAAAGACCCCGUGAACCUUUACUAUAGCUUGACACUGAACAUUGAGCCUUGAUGUGUAGGAUAGGUGGGAGGCUUUGAAGUGUGGACGCCAGUCUGCAUGGAGCCGACCUUGAAAUACCACCCUUUAAUGUUU